rfam:Schistosoma margrebowiei strain Zambia genome assembly, scaffold: SMRZ_contig0000344
GCACUGCUGAAGAGUCCCACAAUAGAACGGAACAACCGUCCAGUGC